rnacentral:tRNA from 1 species
GGGGGUGUAGCUCAGUUUAAAGCACCUGCUUUGCAUGUGGAAGGUCCCAGGUUCAGUUCUUGGCAUCUCCA